AUUGAACGCUGGCGGCAGGCCUAACACAUGCAAGUCGAGCGAGCGGCGGACGGGUGCGGAAUGGAUUGGGAAUGACGGUUAGCGGGGGAUAACUACUGGAAACGGUUGCUAAACCCGCAUACUAUCGGAUAACCCAUAUGGGGUUAGCUAGUAGGUGGGGUAAUGGCUCACCUAGGCGACGAUCCCUAGCUGGUCUGAGAGGUUUAUCAGCCACACUGGGACUGAGACACGGCCCAGACUCCUACGGAGGCAGCAGUGGGGAAUAUUGCGCAAUGGGCGCAAGCCUGAUUCAGCCAUGCCGCGUGUAUGAAGAAGGCCCUAGGGUUGUAAAGCACUGUCGUUCGGGAAGCGGUACCGACAGAAUAAGCAACGGCUAACUACGUGCCAGCAGCCGCGGUAAUAC
rnacentral:rRNA from 1 species